UUCAGGCUCGAAGAGUUAUGCGAGACGUAGAAAUGAAUUCAUAGUAGAGCAUGGAAGGGAGCCUGGUGAGGUGGAGUUUUUUUAAGAUGACCCAUACUCACCGAAAUGGCAGCUUUGUCCGGGACGAGUCGAGAGAUAUAGUUGAAAGAGCUACAACUCUUAUUUCAGAGCGCGUUGGGGAG